UACGUAGGGUGCGAGCGUUAAUCGGAAUUACUGGGCGUAAAGCGUGCGCAGGCGGUUUGCUAAGACCGAUGUGAAAUCCCCGGGCUUAACCUGGGAACUGCAUUGGUGACUGGCAGGCUAGAGUAUGGUAGAGGGGGGUAGAAUUCCACGUGUAGCAGUGAAAUGCGUAGAGAUGUGGAGGAAUACCGAUGGCGAAGGCAGCCCCCUGGGCCAAUACUGACGCUCAUGCACGAAAGCGUGGGGAGCAAACAGG
rnacentral:rRNA from 1 species